UACGGGGGGGGCAAGCGUUGUUCGGAAUUACUGGGCGUAAAGGGCUCGUAGGUGGCCAACUAAGUCAGACGUGAAAUCCCCAGGCUCAACUUGGGAACUGCGUCUGAUACUGGAUGGCUUGAAUUCGGGAGAGGGAUGCAGAAUUCCAGGUGUAGCGGUGAAAUGCGUAGAUAUCUGGAGGAACACCGGUGGCGAAGGCGGCAUCCUGGACCGAUACUGACGCUGAGGAGCGAAAGCCAGGGGAGCAAACGGG
rnacentral:rRNA from 1 species